rnacentral:rRNA from 1 species
CGGACGGGUGAGUAACACGUGAGCAACCUGCCUUCGAGAGGGGAAUAACGGCUGGAAACGGUCGCUAAUACCGCAUAAUGUACGGAUGGGACAUCCUGUCUGUACCAAAGAUUUAUCGCUCGAAGAUGGGCUCGCGUCCGAUUAGGUAGUUGGUGAGGUAACGGCCCACCAAGCCGACGAUCGGUAGCCGGACUGAGAGGUUGAACGGCCACAUUGGGACUGAGACACGGCCCAGACUCCUACGGGAGGCAGCAG